rnacentral:rRNA from 1 species
UACGGAGGGAGCUAGCGUUGUUCGGAAUUACUGGGCGUAAAGCGCGCGUAGGCGGCUUUGUAAGUUAGAGGUGAAAGCCCGGGGCUCAACCCCGGAAUUGCCUUUAAGACUGCAUCGCUUGAAUCCGGGAGAGGUGAGUGGAAUUCCGAGUGUAGAGGUGAAAUUCGUAGAUAUUCGGAAGAACACCAGUGGCGAAGGCGGCUCACUGGCCCGGUACUGACGCCGUGAGGU